rnacentral:misc_RNA from 1 species
CAUGAAUGCACCAUUCCAGUAUGCUGCUGUAUAUGUCGGAAUGAACUAUGGAUAUGGACCACCAAACAGAGUUGGAGGAAGAUAUCCGAAUAACCGACAGCAGAACAAGGUGGCACCACUGGAAGUCAGGGACAAUUCGAUGACUAUUGGUGUUGCAGAUGAGCAUGUUGGACUAGUCCUUGGCCGUAAUGGGAGGAGCAUAAUAG